UUGAAAUAAACCUGAUGGGUUGUUGCUGGCUCUCUAGGGAGCAUGUGCACGCCUUGUCAUUUUUAUAUCUCCACCUGUGCACCUUUUGUAGACCCAGGGAUAUGGUCUAUGUUGCUUCUUCAUUUACCCCAAUGUAUGUCAAUAGAAUGUUGUGCCCAUGAUUAAAAUCUAUA
rnacentral:misc_RNA from 1 species